GCAUGAUGAUGAUGAUGAUGAUGAUGAUGAUGAUGAUGAUCAUCAUCAUCAUCAUCAUCAUCACCACCGCCA
rnacentral:pre_miRNA from 1 species